rnacentral:tRNA from 1 species
GGGUCGUUAGCUCAGUUGGUAGAGCAUCGGAUUUUUAAUCCGGUGGCCACAGGUUCAAAUCCUGUACGACCCA